rnacentral:rRNA from 1 species
CUUUACACUGCACGCCAGUGCGAUAAGGGGACUCCAAGUGCGAGGGCAUAUCGUCCUCGCUAUCCUGUACUGUAGGGUAGUACAGUAUCAAGAGCUGGGCAAGACCGGUGCCAGCCGCCGCGGUAAUACCGGCAGCUCGAGUGAUGGCCAAUCUUAUUGGGCCUAAAGCGUCCGUAGCUGGCCGCGCAAGUCCGUCGGGAAAUCCAUCAGCCCAACUGAUGGGCGUCCGGCGGAAACUGCACGGCUUGGGACCGGAAGGCUCGAGAGGUACGUCCGGGGUAGGAGUGAAAUCCCGUAAUCCCGAACGGACCACCGAUGGCGAAAGCAUCUCGAGAAAACGGAUCCGACAGUGAGGGACGAAAGCUAGAGUC